UACGUAGGGAGCAAGCGUUGUCCGGAAUUACUGGGCGUAAAGGGCGCGUAGGCGGCCUUCUAAGUCGAACGUGAAAUCCCCGGGCUCAACCCGGGAACUGCGUCCGAUACUGGAAGGCUUGAAUCCGGGAGAGGGAUGCGGAAUUCCAGGUGUAGCGGUGAAAUGCGUAGAUAUCUGGAGGAACACCGGUGGCGAAGGCGGCAUCCUGGACCGACACUGAC
rnacentral:rRNA from 1 species